AUUGAACGCUGGCGGCAUGCCUUACACAUGCAAAUCGAACGGUAACGGGCCUUCGGGUGCCGACGAGUGGCGAACGGGUGAGUAAUACAUCGGAACGUGCCCGAUCGUGGGGGAUAACGAGGCGAAAGCUUUGCUAAUACCGCAUACGAUCUACGGAUGAAAGCAGGGGACCGCAAGGCCUUGCGCGGACGGAGCGGCCGAUGGCAGAUUAGGUAGUUGGUGGGAUAAAAGCUUACCAAGCCGACGAUCUGUAGCUGGUCUGAGAGGAUGAUCAGCCACACUGGGACUGAGACACGGCCCAGACUCCUACGGGAGGCAGCAGUGGGGAAUUUUGGACAGUGGGCGCAAGCCUGAUCCAGCCAUGCCGCGCGCAGGAUGAAGGCCUUCGGGUUGUAAACUGAUUUUGUACGGAACGAAAAGCCUUCUUUUAAUACAGGAGGGUCAUGACGGUACCGUAAGAAUAAGCACCGGCUAACUACGUG
rnacentral:rRNA from 1 species